rnacentral:misc_RNA from 1 species
GAUGAAGAACGUAGCGAAAUGCGAUAAGUAAUGUGAAUUGCAGAAUUCAGUGAAACAUCGAAUCUUUGAACGCAUCUUGCGCUCCUUGGUAUUCUGAGGAGCAUGCCUGUUUGAGUGUCAUUAAAUUCUCAACUACACUGACUUUGAAUUGGUGUGGCUUGGAUUUGGGGGGAAAAUUGUUGUGGGCUUUUUGUAUAGUCUGCUCCCCUGAAAUUGAUUAGCGGUACCUUUGUGGAACUGUCUACAGGUGUGAUAAUUAUCUACAUCUUAGACAUCUGCUGGAAUGCUGCUUUCUAAACCUUACUUGUAUUGACAAUCUUGACCUCAAAUCAGGUAGGACUACCCGCUGAACUUAAGCAUAUCAAUAAGCGGAGGA